AGGUGCGAUCAUACCAGCACUAAUGCACCGGAUCCCAUCACAACUCCACAGUUAAUCGUGCUUGGGCGAGAGUAGUACUAGGAUGGGUGACCUCCUGGGAAGUCCUUGUGUUGCACCUC
rnacentral:rRNA from 1 species